GCGCUGUUGGUCUAACGGUAUGAUAAUUGCCUUACAAGCAAUUGGCCCGGGUUCGACUCCCGGAUAGCGCA